GCCAGCAGCAUACCACCCUACAUCCCACUGCUGGCUUGCUUCUGAAGCUAAGCAGUGUUGGUCCCUGUUUGGUCCCUGGUUGGUCCCUGGAUGGGAGACCAGAUGCUGCUGGAA
ensembl:rRNA 5S_rRNA 5S ribosomal RNA